CAUAGCGACUAUCGUGGCAUAUCAAUAAGCGGAGGAAAAGAAACUAACAAGGAUUCCCCUAGUAACGGCGAGUGAAGCGGGAAGAGCUCAAAUUUGAAAUCUUAAAGGGUUUCCCUUUACGAAUUGUAGUUUAAAGAAGUGUUUUCUGUUGGAGUUUCGGUAAAAGUUCUUUGGAAUAGGACAUCAUAGAGGGUGAGAAUCCCGUAUUUGAUCCGUUACUUUCCAGCUGUGUGAUACACUUUCAAAGAGUCGGAUUGUUUGGGAAUGCAGUCCAAAAUGGGUGGUAAAUUUCAUCUAAAGCUAAAUAUUGGCGAGAGACCGAUAGCGAACAAGUACCGUGAGGGAAAGAUGAAAAGAACUUUGAAAAGAGAGUUAAACAGUACGUGAAAUUGUCAAAAGGGAAGCGUUUGACACCAGUGUUGUUUAGUUGAAAAUCAAUUCAAUAGUUUUUGAUUUUAAGUAGUAUUGACUUCAUCAGCUUGCCUGCUUUCUUUUCAGAAAUUAUUGAAUGCACUUUUCAGUUAACAAGUCAACAUCAAUUUCUUUUGUUGUAAAAGGGUAAGAGGAAGGUGGCUUACGCUUCGGCGUAAGUGUUUAUAGCCUUUUACCUCUGCAAUCGGAGAGAUUGAGGACAGCAGCGUAGACUCUUCGGGGUUAGAUACACUUGUGCUAAGCUAUAGCCUUGUAUAGACAACUUGUUGACUAUGCUCAGUCAUGUAGCUUACUCGCUUGUGCUAUUUUACCUACGCUUAGGAUGUUGACGCGCGUGUGUGCGUG
rnacentral:rRNA from 1 species